AACGAACGCUGGCGGCAUGCCUAACACAUGCAAGUCGAACGAGACCUUCGGGCCUAGUGGCGCACGUGUGCGUAACGCGUGGGAACCUGCCCUUAGGUUCGGAAUAACUCCCCGAAAGGGGUGCUAAUACCGGAUAAUGUCUUCGGACCAAAGAUUUAUCGCCGUUGGAUGGGCCCGCGUUGGAUUAGCUAGUUGGUAGGGUAAUAGCCUACCAAGGCGACGAUCCAUAGCUGGUCUGAGAGGAUGAUCAGCCACACUGGCACUGAGACACGGCCCAGACUCCUACGGGAGGCAGCAGUAGGGAAUAUUGGACGAUGGGCGCAAGCCUGAUCCAGCCAUGCCGCGGGAGUGAUGAAGGCCUUAGGGUUGUAAAGCUCUUUUAGCCGGGAUGAUAAUGACGGUACCGGGAGAAUAAGCACCGGCUAACUACGUG
rnacentral:rRNA from 1 species